rnacentral:tRNA from 1 species
AUUUUGGUGGCUGAAGAUAGGCGAUAGAUUGUAAAUCUUUUUAUGACAUUUUGUCCCAGAACU